rnacentral:rRNA from 1 species
CCUACGGGCGGCAGCAGUGGGGAAUAUUGGACAAUGGGGGGAACCCUGAUCCAGCCAUGCCGCGUGUGUGAAGAAGGCCCUCGGGUUGUAAAGCACUUUCAGUGAGGAAGAACGCCUGGUGGUUAAUACCCAUCAGGAAAGACAUCACUCACAGAAGAAGCACCGGCUAACUCCGUGCCAGCAGCCGCGGUAAUACGGAGGGUGCGAGCGUUAAUCGGAAUUACUGGGCGUAAAGCGCGCGUAGGUGGCUUGAUAAGCCGGUUGUGAAAGCCCCGGGCUCAACCUGGGAACGGCAUCCGGAACUGUCAAGCUAGAGUGCAGGAGAGGAAUGUAGAAUUCCCGGUGUAGCGGUGAAAUGCGUAGAGAUCGGGAGGAAUACCAGUGGCGAAGGCGGCCUUCUGGACUGACACUGACACUGAGGUGCGAAAGCGUGGGUAGCAAACAGGAUUAGAUACCCCAGUAGUC